AUACGUAGGGGGCGAGCGUUGUCCGGAAUGAUUGGGCGUAAAGGGCGCGUAGGCGGCCCGGUAAGUCUGGAGUGAAAGUCCUGCUUUUAAGGUGGGAAUUGCUUUGGAUACUGUCGGGCUUGAGUGCAGGAGAGGUAAGUGGAAUUCCCAGUGUAGCGGUGAAAUGCGUAGAGAUUGGGAGGAACACCAGUGGCGAAGGCGACUUACUGGACUGUAACUGACGCUGAGGCGCGAAAGUGUGGGGAGCAAACAGGAUUAGAUACCCUGGUAGUCCACACUGUAAACGAUGAAUGCUAGGUGUAGGGGGUAUCGACCCCUUCUGUGCCGCAGUUAACACAAUAAGCAUUCCGCCUGGGGAGUACGGCCGCAAGGUUGAAACUCAAAGGAAUUGGCGGGG
rnacentral:rRNA from 1 species